rnacentral:ribozyme from 1 species
UUUUUUUUUUUUUUUUUUUUUUUUUUUUUUUCCUU